rnacentral:rRNA from 1 species
CUAGAUUGGCAUGGGGGCAGCCUGAUCCAGCCAUGCCGCGUGAGUGAUGAAGGCCUUCGGGUUGUAAAGCUCUUUUGUCCGGGAAGAUACUGACGGUGCUAAUAGAAGAAGCCCAGGACAGUACCGGGACAACAAGCACGGUCAUACUACGUGCCAGCAGCCGCGAUAAUA